rnacentral:lncRNA from 1 species
AAACAAAGUGAAAUAACCAAAGUAUCAGAAGAUAUCAAAAGUAUAAUGACAAAAUUCAAGAAUUUGAAGAGAAAUUACACAAAACUACAAAUUCCACAAAUUCUACAAAUUCCACAUCAGUAUUCUUAAUAAGAAAGUUCAUGAAGUUUUAAUUAUAGCCUGGGCUACAGAAAGAGAUCUUCACACAGAGAGAAUGGAAGUGGCCACCUCCGAAAGGUCCUUAGAAAAUAAGCCAUUAGAUAGCUUGGCUUUGAUGGCCAACGCCAGACACAUACAUUCACCAAAUAUUUUCACAAAAAGGGCAUGAAAACCAAGGGGACUCUUUGGCUCUCACAUUGAAAUUGGGGAAGUUUUCUACCAUCCAUCAAAGAUGUCCCAACUUGUGAGGUCUUCCUCUGCUGGAGAUGGAAGGUUUGGGCUUUUAUCUGAGAAAGAAUCUACAACUAGUCCUAGUGAGUCAUCAAAAGUACUCAGUAAAUUAAUGGGCUCAGAGUUGGGCCCUCUUGUGGCCACAUCUAUAGCCCUAAGCAGACUGGAUUCUUCUAGGAUGAGGAGUGAUGUUUUUUACACUGGUGCCCCUGACAUCAGCUUUUCCUACAAAUGCCAGCAUGAUCUCACCAAUUGGAGGACACCCAUCCCUAAGUAGUACAUUUAGAACGUGUCCUCAUCCGUGGGAACCUGAUGGCCUUCCAGCCCACCUCUGAGUUCUGCUAAGCCAUAUCCUUAAAAGUAUCAUUCCUGGGGACUGGCCCCAUGGCCAAGUGGCUAAAGUUCUGCACACUUCGCUUUGGUGGCCCAGGUUCACAGGUUCAGAUCCUGGGUGCAGACAUACUCCACUCACCAGCCAUGCUGUGGCAGUGUCCCACAUACAAAAAAAUAGAGGGAGAUUGGCACAGAUGAUAUCUCAGGGCUAAUAUUCCUCAACCAAAAAAAGAGGAAGAUUGGCAAUGGAUGUUAGCUCAGGGCAAAAAGAAAAAAAAGUCAUUAAUGGAUUUUCACAUUGAGAAAGGGAAAAGCAGCCCUGGAUAUCUGGGAACUGGACUGGUACUAUUAUUUAUCCUGUGGUAUUGCCAGGAGUAUUCACAGCUGGGCAGUGGUAUGCUCUUAUUGAACAUAAACAGAAUAUGGGCAUCAGAUACCACACUGUAAUCAUGAUGGAUCAAGAGAAAAUGUGAGCAGUGUGUUAUUAUAUUGAAUGCAGACAAAAACCUUGAAAAUCGUUCAAACCACAUAAAUGGCAUUUUCCUCUCCUAGUUGGAACAUGAAUAACUGCUGUUUUUUUUUUUUUUUUUAACCCAUCAGAGCUUUGGCAUCACUCUCCUAUCACCUUCUGGAUAAGAUUUAUUAAGAUACCAGUUGUGCGGUUGUCCCCACUUUCUCGUAGCAUCCAAUGCCGAGCAAAGCCCUGCUUCCUUGAAUCCUCUCCAGAAAUACCUCACAUAAGUCCAACUCCUAAGUCUUUUUUAAUAUCUGAUUAUUGUGAUAGCUCAUAGUUCCCUAUAAUGUGUAUUUUAGUUCUUUUAAUUAAUCAGUAAGCCAAACUUGUUAAGCCACAGUUGUUUUCCUUAGGGUCUUUGCCUGUAAGGCAUUGACAGAAAUUGAAGUUUGCCAAGAUUCAGCUAAAACCAGGUGAGACCUUUUUGCCUCAGAGCAGGAUCCUUGAGUCAGUGAGAAUGUGCGUAUCUGAGACCUUUUGUGUGUCUACCUGUUUAGGUGCCAACUUGCCCAUGGCUGAGUGGAAAGUUAAUGUACAAUGAGCCCCAAUAUUCAAUGAAGCUUCUUUGUGUUUGGUUUAUUUUUCCUAAUUUUAAGGUGCUCUGGUACUUUUUCUUGAUCUGAUCAGAUUUGUAUUGUUCCUCAUUGAAUUUUUCUGGCCUAACACCAGCUUCUAUGGUCCCUCUGCUUGUCUAGUGUUUGUGUGUUUAUAAGAAGAAGUUUCUUUAGGAAAUAGACUUGUAUAGGCCUGAGAAGGAAAAUGAACUGAGGUUCAGAGACCUGUGGGACAACAUCAAGUGAAUCUACACAUGUGUAGUGGGAAUGAAAAGGAGAGAGAAAGAGGAAAAAACUAUUUGAAGACAUAAUGGCUGAGAACUUCCAAAAUGUAAUUAAAAAAAACAUUAACCUACACACUCAAAAAGCUCAACAAACUACAAGUAGGAUAAAUACAAAGAAUACAUACCUAGACACAUUGUAGUCAAACUGUUGAAAGCCAAAACUGGAAACUCUUGAAAGCAGCAGGAAAAAAAUAACUCAUCACAUACAAGAGAGCAGCAAUGCCUUAGUGGCUGACUUCUCAUCAGAAACUAUGGAAUCCAAAAGGCAAUGGAAUGACAUAUUUUAAGUGCUGAAAGAAACAAAAGUCUUGCCAACCAAUAACUUUAUACCCAGCAAAACUAUCAUUCAAAUCAUGCAGGCAAAAUAAAGAAAUUCUCAAAUAAACAAGGACUGAAAUCAUUGCUACCAGACUUACCUGAUAAGAAAUUCAAAAGAAAUUCUUUCAGGCUGAAAGCAAAUGAUAUCAGACAGUACUCAAAGUCAAAAGAAGAAAUGAAGAGCAUCAGAAAUGGUUAACAUGUGGACAGAUGCAUGGAUAGACAGAUAUAUUUCUCCAAGAUUUAAUAGACUGGAAUCAGACCUCAUACCAGAUUUAUCAAUAUUGCAAAAACAAACGAUUAAUUCUGUGAGAAAACAGUUGGAUAGGCUGUAUAUUUACCGCUCCUAACACGCCCGGUUAUGUCAAACCUUGGAGUCAGGCAUCCACAGGUGAGCCAAGUUAUGCUGCUAUUUGACUGCUCCAUCACCCACCCCUGUAUCUUUGCACUAAACCCUGGAGAAGGUAACAUACCAGCCCACCCAGAGAUCUCUCAAUGAUAGAGCCUAUGGAUGCCGACUAGUGGCACCUGUCUCCGGAAGCUCUUGCUUCAGGCAUCAAGGGGUAAUGAAGCAAAAACCUGUCUGGUGGUGCCACAGCCGUACAUCCUUGGGGCAGUUACAAGCGAACAGUUCACAUAACCAUCAGUAGUAACUUUUUUGGUUCUAAAAGAUGUUCAGUACUCAAAUGGUGAUGAUAACGUUAAUCUCUUAACUUUUAAGUCCGAAAAACAAAAUGAAUGAAAUCUUCAAAAUAUAUAUUUAAACUUAUUGCUGUAUUUGAGGUGCUACAAUAUAAAAAAGCAUCCAUGGGUCCAUGGAAUAAUUUAAAGGCACACAUUUUUUGUUUUUAAAUAUCUUUUUGUUUUUACUUUUUUAAAUUUCUGUUUUGUCUGCUUUUUCUCCCCAAAUCCCCCAGUACAUAGUUGUAUAUUUUAGUUGUGGGUCCUUCUAGUUGUGGUAUGUGGGACGCUGCCUCAACGUGACCUAACGAGCGGUGCCAUGUCUGCGCCCAGGAUCCAAACCAGCGAAACACUGGGCUGCCCAAGCGGAGUGCGCGAACUUAACCACUCAGCCAAGACUCAUGCUUUUUACUAGAAUGUGUCCAUGCUUGUUGAUGGAAAGAGCAACAUUAGGACUUCCAGAAACAGUGAAAUAAUUCCUUACUGACCAUCUGAAUUCCCAUCAGCCAGUUCUUACAGCUUUCCGUAGAAAUUUGUUCAAAGGAAAGACAUUGCAUCUUUAUUGUAUAGGUACAGCAGUUUUAAAGGGACAAAAUUUGAGUCAAGACAGAUGAAUUCUAAUCAAUGUAAUCACCUAAGCACCACAGAAGAUAAUAAGAAGCACAAUCAUUAGAGGAGCACAAGUAGAAGCAGGCCAUCACUAUACUAUCACUUGCGUACCACCAACCUAGACUCGAGCCAGCCUUCAGUGGGGAGCCUGCACUGGAUUGGUUGAAGAUGGCUCCUGUCCCUGCCCCAAAGUGCUUGGACAGCAGAGGAGAAAUCUUAGUUACUUACCUUCAAAGGCUACCCAUGAGGUCUGGACCAGGUGUUGGUUACUGCUCAUACUCUAACACCUGAAGAUACAUAAAUAUUAUCUCGUGAGGGUGCUUCAUGUGGAUGCAGAAACUCAGCUCUUUGAGAACUUUUCUCUCUACCUUUAUAAUUUGGUUCUUUAAGUUAACAUAAUCUUGAUCCAAUGGUAGAGGCACAAGUUCCCUUUUCUCCCUCAGGUAUCGAAGGCAACGAAACCUGUUGAUGUCAUCCUGUAUCUGCUUCUAGCUUCUUCUAUUUUGGAGUCCAGGGGAACACAGGCCAGUAACACAUGCUCUAUGGAAUGCUUUAUAAAGGACUUGGUAUAAAAGGACAACUGGAACAACACCUGUCCAGUAGCCGUGGCCACCUGCUUUCCCCUUCAAAGGUCUCCAUCCAUUAUCGUGUCACUCUAAAUCUAACCACCCUCCAUUUUCACCUAAAGAAAGAGAACCCAGUAAUUACUUACACCAUUUUGGGAACUAUCUAUGACUAGUAUGGAUCUUCUAGAUGAGCUAACUCUGGUUUUAUAUGGUUCAUACUUAAAAAGAAAAGCUAAAAAUUACGAAGCUGGGUAUGCUCUAAGAAAUUUGAAUUUGCCCUUGAAAUAUAAGCUUCAUCCACAAAUUAAAUAUUUCCAGAUGGCUAAAUUAAUUGCCUUCACCAAGACCUAUUAGCUGACAAAGAUAAAGAAGUAAAUAUUUAUAGUGAUAGUAGGUAUGAUUUUAGGUUAGUUCAUGACUUUGAAAUGCUUUAUGAACAAACAGAUGUCCUGACCAGUACAGGGUGGUGAAUUAAAGACAUCGAGGUUCUUUGCUCUUACCUGAAGUUAUAAGAAGCCAUAAAAGGAGUUUUGUAAAAAUGCUGCAUGAUAUCAUCCACAAGAGCAUGAGGGUAUUACCAAGGAUGUUUCUGAUCUUGUCCCACCCGCUGAUGACAGCCCCAACAAGACCAUGGAGGUGGGACAUGGACGCAGUUGAGGUUUUUCCCUCUGGACACUAUGGCAGUAAUGCCAGGGGGAAAAUACUGUUUUAUUUUGCAUUCCUGACUUGAGGAAUCCUAACUUAUCUUUGCAGUAAUGGGGACACAUAUUUCACUGGUACUAUUAUCAAGAACUUUAUAAGCUUUAUCUUUUAUUCAGAAACUCCAUUUUAUCAUCCACAAAUCUCAGGGAAAAUAAAUAAAUAAUGAUCAUAGCUGUCAAAAACCCUCAAACUUCCAAGGCCUUAUUCCCAUUAGCCUUGAUGGCAAUAAGCUCAAUCACUUUCAGGGUGCAGAAAUUAUCUCCUUCUGCGUUAUUAACAGGCUGCCUCAUAAGUUUAUGAAUUACUUCCAAUUCUAAAUUCUACUCUGUUAUAAGCUGAUAUGAGUAAUUAUUGCAGGGGACUCAUACAAUACCUCUGAUUUUAUCACCAAUAGGUGCGAUUUCUAAAACAGCCACCAAAGCAGUUGCUGCCUGGUCUAAGACCUGGAGAUAUGGUCCUCUGAAAAAGGCAUCAGAGAAAAACUGCCCUUGACUCUCAAGGAGAAAAGACUCUAUCAAGUAUUGUCAAUGAUUAACACAGUCAAACUCCAAGGUGUUGGUCUUUAGGCUUAUGUUGCUUGACUUAAAAGACGGACAUUUGCAUUGCAGUAGAUAAGGAGCUCUUGCACACAGAAAGCCUUUGGGAUGAAAAGAGAGCAUUUCCGACUACAAGAAAUACAUGAGGCGAGGAUAUCUGGGGGCCGGAUAAACAAAGAUCUCCUUUAAAUAACUUGCAAAGACAGUCCUGUCCUCAGCAGCCUGGGGCUCCCAGAUGUCAGAUUACAUAUCUGGUGUAAUUGAAAAUCCACCUGGAGGCAAGCAGUUGUUUACUUGGCAUUCUGGACAGCUUUACCACCAGCCCAAUGCAGAUGCUACCUCAGAAGAGCCCCCUAAAGCAAACAAAGGGUUUUUAUUUUCCCCAUCACUUUGAAAAACAACAUCUUUAUAAUUCCAAAAUGCAAUGGGUCGGAACAUUUUAAUUCCAAUUAACUUGUAGUUUUCUUUUUUUCUAAAAUAAAUUUGAAGAACAAUGGCUAAUGAGCUGCUGUACAAUAUUUGUCCUUGGCAGAGAAUGACACUCAUGGAACACUUAA